GACGAACGCUGGCGGUGUGCUUAACACAUGCAAGUCGAACGGUAAGGCCCUUUCGGGGGUACACGAGUGGCGAACGGGUGAGUAACACGUGAGUAACCUGCCCUCAUCUCUGGGAUAACAGUCGGAAACGGUUGCUAAUACUGGAUAUGAGCUUGCAAGGCAUCUUGUGGGUUGGAAAGAUUUUUUUGGUUGGGGAUGGACUCGCGGCCUAUCAGCUCGUUGGUGAGGUAGUGGCUCACCAAGGCUUCGACGGGUAGCCGGCCUGAGAGGGCGACCGGCCACAUUGGGACUGAGAUACGGCCCAAACUCCUACGGGAGGCAGCAGUGGGGAAUAUUGCACAAUGGACGGAAGUCUGAUGCAGCAACGCCGCGUGCGGGAUGACGGCCUUCGGGUUGUAAACCGCUUUCAAUUGUGACGAAGCUUUUUGUGACGGUAGCAGUAGAAGAAGCACCGGCUAACUACGU
rnacentral:rRNA from 1 species